rnacentral:rRNA from 1 species
GGAGUUAGCCGGUGCUUCUUCUGCGAGUAACGUCACAGAUGUAAGGUAUUAACUUACACCCUUUCCUCCUCGCUGAAAGUGCUUUACAACCCGAAGGCCUUCUUCACACACGCGGCAUGGCUGCAUCAGGGUUUCCCCCAUUGUGCAAUAUUCCCCACUGCUGCCUCCCGUAGGAGUCUGGGCCGUGUCUCAGUCCCAGUGUGGCUGAUCAUCCUCUCAGACCAGCUAGGGAUCGUCGCCUAGGUGAGCCUUUACCUCACCUACUAGCUAAUCCCACCUGGGCUUAUCCAUCAGCGCAAGGCCCGAAGGUCCCCUGCUUUCCCCCGUAGGGCGUAUGCGGUAUUAGCAGUCGUUUCCAACUGUUAUCCCCCACAAAUGGGCAAAUUCCCAGGCAUUACUCACCCGUCCGCCGCUCGUCAUCUUCAAAGCAAGCUUUUGAAAUGUUACCGCUCGACUUGCAUGUGUUAGGCCUGCCGCCAGCGUUCAAUCUGAGCCAGAAUCGAACCCUGA